rnacentral:rRNA from 1 species
GACGUAGGGUGCGAGCGUUGUCCGGAUUUAUUGGGCGUAAAGAGCUCGUAGGCGGCUUGUCGCGUCGACCGUGAAAACUUGGGGCUCAACCCCAAGCCUGCGGUCGAUACGGGCAGGCUAGAGUUCGGUAGGGGAGACUGGAAUUCCUGGUGUAGCGGUGAAAUGCGCAGAUAUCAGGAGGAACACCGGUGGCGAAGGCGGCAUCCUGGACCGACACUGACGCUGAGGAGCGAAAGCUAGGGGAGCGAACAGG